rnacentral:rRNA from 1 species
UACGAAGGGGGCUAGCGUUGCUCGGAAUCACUGGGCGUAAAGCGCACGUAGGCGGACUCUUAAGUCGGGUGUUAAAUCCCCAGGCUUAACCUGGGAACUGCAUUCGAGACUGCAUUGCUAGAGUAUGGGAGAGGGAAGUGGAAUUUCCGGUGUAGCGGUGAAAUGCGUAGAUAUCGGAAGGAACAUCAGUGGCGAAAGCGACUUCCUGGACCAAUACUGACGCUCAUGUGCGAAAGCGUGGGGAGCAAACAGG